AGUGAACGCUUUCUUUCUUCCUAACACAUGCAAGUCGAACGGCAGCACAGUAAGAGCUUGCUCUUACGGGUGGCGAGUGGCGGACGGGUGAGGAAUACAUCGGAAUCUACUUUUUCGUGGGGGAUAACGUAGGGAAACUUACGCUAAUACCGCAUACGACCUACGGGUGAAAGCAGGGGAUCUUCGGACCUUGCGCGAUUGAAUGAGCCGAUGUCGGAUUAGCUAGUUGGCGGGGUAAAGGCCCACCAAGGCGACGAUCCGUAGCUGGUCUGAGAGGAUGAUCAGCCACACUGGAACUGAGACACGGUCCAGACUCCUACGGGAGGCAGCAGUGGGGAAUAUUGGACAAAGGGCGCAAGCCUGAUCCAGCCAUACCGCGUGGGUGAAGAAGGCCUUCGGGUUGUAAAGCCCUUUUGUUGGGAAGGAAAAGCAGCAGGUUAAUACCCCGCUGUUCUGACGGUACCCAAAGAAUAAGCACCGGCUAACUUCGUG
rnacentral:rRNA from 1 species